GGAGAAUCGCUUGAACCCGGGUGGCGGAAGUUGCAGUGAGCUGAGAUCAGGCUACUGCACUCCAGUCUGGGCGACGGAACGAGACUCUGUCUCAAAAAAACAAAACAAAACAACAGGGCCUCUGCAGCCCUGAGAUGUGAAGAAGGAGGAGAUAAGGGAUUUAGAUGUAUAUCCUACUAGGUUUAAACUGUCGAAUUCUGGUUGGCAUUGGAGAAGGCUCUGCGAUGCAUAGACCUUAAAUUAGAGUUAGGCAUAUUAUUAAUCCAAAGUGAUCCUGAAUGCUUUCUAUCAUUUUUUCUUGUCCUAUUGCACUGUCUAAACUGGCUUUUAGUACUACACAGAAUAGAAGCAACAAUAACAAUCAUCCUUGUCUUGUUUCUAACUUUAGUGGACUAUUUACAAUAUUUUACUGAGUUAGAUGCCUCAGGUUCCAUGUAGCUGCUCUUUAUCAAACACCUCACUGGGUUUCCCUUCAGUCUUGGAGGAGUCUGGGUAUUGGCCAUGACAUUUGCCACGAAUGAUGGAGUUCUCUCUGCCAGGUCCUCUUGCCCUGGAUCUGUACGGCUGUGCUUCAGCUGCUGCACAAGUUUGACUUUUUGAGUAGCCCUUGACUCUCUGGUCUUCCUUGGCCUCUCUGUAGUUUUUGGUAUAAUAGCCUCAGCUUAAGUUUGAGUUUUGUAGGAAAACAAUGGGCGUGUGCUGACAAAGAUACAAAGUCAAGGAACAGGAUUUCUUAGAUCUCAACUAACUUGGUCCUAGCUUUGACAUUUACUUGCCGUAUAACAUUGGAUGAAUAACAGUCUCUUUAAACCUUAGUUUCAUCCACUGUGAAACAGGAAAAAUAACAUCUGUUAAAUAGAGUUGUUUUAGGAUCAUGUAGCUUAUGUAAAACACUGGAUAGUUUUCCAGGCAUGACAUAGGCACUCAAUCUCAUAUUAUGAAGCUUGUGAUACAUGGGAGGUACUGAUGACAGCUUUCUUCUGUCCAGGCAGGCCCAGCUACAUGGUGAUAUGACCAGUGCAGCCACACAGGGCCCCAUGCUUAGCAGGGCCCUGCACUUAGUUUAAUGCUCUGCUGUUGCCAUCUUGAAAUUCUUAAUUUUUAAACAAGGGUCUCACAUUUUGCACUGUUUCUUGCAAACAAUGAAGCCAGUUCUGUCUCCAGGAAUGGGUUAAGCACUAGUACUGGCUCUUCUCAGGGAGUAAAUUCCUUGAAGGGUAACCUCUCUUAGAAAAAUUAGGGUUAGCACCCUGUGUAUGUUGAUCUCUAACUGUUGCAUUCUCAGUAACCUACUCAUCCUCUCUCAAAAACAGAAGCUAUUAGGUCCAGAGAAGUCGGUAGGGCGUGCUGGUGAAAUGGAAUGGUGAUUUCGGAUUUUGGAAUCAGGAAAAAGAUCUAAGUUCAAAACCCUGCCUAGUCCCUUUCUGGUCGAGUUACUUAGACAAGGUAAUGUCUCUGUCCUACUGGUAAAGUGUAUGUUGCAGGGGAAUUACAUUUUCUUUGUUGGUAAAAUAUAUGUCUCAGGGGAAUUAAACAGAUCAUUUAUGUAAAGUGCCUUUCACAGAGAAUCUGGCACAUAGUAGGUGGUCAGUCACUAUUAAUUCUUCCAGCUCUUGCCAGAAGUAACUAAAAUCAGGGCACUAGGACUUCCAAACCAUGCUGCUACUAAUAAAAGAAAUAGUAUGAUUUAUUUUUUCACUACUGUUUAGGGAAAGGCCUGUGCUUCAUAAAUAUGUAUUGGAAAGUACUUAGCAAAUGAGGAGAAAUAAUAAAAAUAUAUCCAAGUAAACAGCUCCUAUAAA